rnacentral:rRNA from 1 species
GGUUUCCGUAGGUGAACCUGCGGAAGGAUCAUUAUAGAAAAUGACGUGAACUCUUAACGGAGUUCUCUCAAAGUGUUGGAGGGGAAGGCCUGCGCUUAAUUGCGCGGCUGUUUUUAAUCUCCUCCGCCUUUGAUACACACAUUGGAGUUUCUACUUUUUUGUUCUCUUUGGGAGGGUUCUGCUCUCCCAGAGGUAAACACAAACAAUCUUUUAUUAUACUAUUAACACAGUCAAAUGAAUUUUAAAAACAAAAUAUUCAAAACUUUCAACAACGGAUCUCUUGGUUCUCGCAUCGAUGAAGAACGCAGCGAACUGCGAUACGUAAUGUGAAUUGCAGAAUUCCGUGAAUCAUCGAAUCUUUGAACGCACAUUGCGCCCCUUGGUAUUCCGGGGGGCAUGCCUGUUUGAGCGUCAUUUCCCUCUCAAACUUUACGUUUGGUAGUGAGCGAUACUCUACUCUGGAGUUUGCUUGAAAAUGGGAGGCCAUAGGCGAAGCAUUGCUUUCCAAUCCUGCGGCCCUCUGCUUACUUCCCCUUGUGGGUUGUGGCAGGGGAAAGCGGGAGGCGCCUUGCCACGAUAGUCGUAUUAGGUUUUACCGACUCGGCGAAAGUGAAGAGGUUUGCUUUUUAAAAAGAAGCAGGCAGCGUCUGGCUUGACAAAAUUCUCAAAGUUUGACCUCAAAUCAGGUAGGAUUAC